rnacentral:rRNA from 1 species
GACGAACGCUGGCGGCGUGCUUAGCACAUGCAAGUCGAACGGAAAGGCCCUGCUUUUGUGGGGUGCUCGAGUGGCGAACGGGUGAGUAACACGUGAGUAACCUGCCCUUGACUUUGGGAUAACUUCAGGAAACUGGGGCUAAUACCGGAUAGGAGCUCCUGCUGCAUGGUGGGGGUUGGAAAGUUUCGGCGGUUGGGGAUGGACUCGCGGCUUAUCAGCUUGUUGGUGGGGUAGUGGCUUACCAAGGCUUUGACGGGUAGCCGGCCUGAGAGGGUGACCGGCCACAUUGGGACUGAGAUACGGCCCAGACUCCUACGGGAGGCAGCAGUGGGGAAUAUUGCACAAUGGGCGGAAGCCGGAUGCAGCAACGCCGCGUGCGGGAUGACGGCCUUCGGGUUGUAAACCGCUUUCGCCUGUGACGAAGCGUGAGUGACGGUAAUGGGUAAAGAAGCACCGGCUAACUACGUG